CUCUUCACAUGGAAACACAUGAAAUUUGGUGCCGUGACUCGUAUCGGGGGACCUCCCUUGGGAGAUCAAUCCCGUCCUCCUGUUUUUUGCUCCAUGAGAAAGAUCCACCUACGACCUCAGGUCCUCAGACCAACCAGCCCAAGAAACAUCUCACCAAUUUCAAAUCCUCAUCAACAUCUCCCGUCUCAUCAUGGGAGACACUCAUCCAGAAGCAAAUCUCAGCCAACAGGAGCGGAGCCAACGUGGGUGGCUGCAACUGCAGUAAGAUUGCCACCAUUCGGGGGCCAGCCAGGAUCUCAUGCCUAGUGCUGCUUUGGUGGCUAUGAUGGACCAUUUCAACAGGUGACCACAUGGAGAAUUGAGCAACAUAUUCUUAUGGAAACAGCACCUGUACAGGGAAAGGCACAGCAUGUGGGGAAACACAGGAAACAACACAGAGGAAGAAGAAGCACUUGAGGAGACAGUGUUCCUCUGAGCUCCGCGUGCUGUGUUGUCUGCUGGGCGGCUGGCGGAGGACCAGGGCACAGAGCAGUAUUUAACUGCUCAGCUCUUGCUCUGAACAGCUGAGCUAUAAAUGCUCAUACCUCAGCCGAAGAAUAAGCAACCUAAUCUUAACUUGUAUUCCAGUAAAAAUAAAAAUAUGUUGGGUUGGAAGAAA
rnacentral:lncRNA from 1 species